GCUGGGCACAAUGGCACACACCUGUAGUCCUAGCUCAAGCAGGAGGAUGGCUUGAGCCCAGGGGUUCUGGGCUGCAGUACACUAUGCCAACCAGGUGUCCACACUAUGUUCAGCAUUAAUAUGGUGACCUCCCAGGAGCGGGGGACCACCAGGUUGCUUAAAGAGGGGUGAACCAACCCAGGUCAGAAAUGGAGCAGGUCAAAACUCCUGUGCUGAUCAGUAGUGGGAUUCUGCCUAUGAAUAGCCACUACACUCCAGCCUGGGCAACAUAGUGAGACCCUGCCUCU
ensembl:misc_RNA Metazoa_SRP Metazoan signal recognition particle RNA